UACGAACUGUGCGAACGUUAUUCGGAAUCACUGGGCUUACAGGGCGCGUAGGCGGCUUUUCAAGUCAGGUGUGAAAGCCCCCGGCUCAACCGGGGAAUUGCGCUCGAAACUGGAGAGCUCGAGUCAGCUAGAGGUGCACGGAACUUCCAGUGGAGCGGUGAAAUGUGUUGAUAUUGGAAGGAACACCGGAGGCGAAAGCGGUGCACUGGGGCUGGUCUGACGCUGAGGCACGAAAGCCAGGGUAGCGAACGGG
rnacentral:rRNA from 1 species